rnacentral:rRNA from 1 species
UACGGAGGGUGCAAGCGUUAUCCGGAUUUAUUGGGUUUAAAGGGUCCGUAGGCGGACCUGUAAGUCAGUGGUGAAAUCUCAUAGCUUAACUAUGAAACUGCCAUUGAUACUGCAGGUCUUGAGUGAAUUUGAGGUAGCUGGAAUAAGUAGUGUAGCGGUGAAAUGCAUAGAUAUUACUUAGAACACCAAUUGCGAAGGCAGGUUACCAAGAUUCAACUGACGCUGAGGGACGAAAGCGUGGGGAGCGAACAGG